UACGGAGGUGGCAAGCGUUGUUCGGAAUUACUGGGCGUAAAGGGCGCGUAGGCGGCUAGGCAAGUCAGGUGUGAAAGCCCCGAGCUUAACUCGGGAAUUGCAUCUGAAACUGCUGUGCUUGAGUUCUGGAGGGGGUAGUGGAAUUCCCAGUGUAGCGGUGAAAUGCGUAGAUAUCGGGAGGAACACCUGCGGCGAAGGCGGCUACCUGGACAGAAACUGACGCUGAGGCGCGAAAGCCAGGGGAGCAAACGGG
rnacentral:rRNA from 1 species